GGAACACAUAAUCAUGAUUUAAAAAUAAAUAGCAGAAGACAAAGUAUUUGGCUCUUGGCUCUGCCCACCGCUGAAGUCAUCUGUUCAAGCUCUGGCCACGCUGUACUUGGAGGGCUUUGAGGUCUGGCAACUGCUGGGCUUUGUCCAUAGAGCGCUGGAUCUGUUCACAGAUGACAGACCCGUCCACCACAGUCGGGCUCUACUGGAGCAAGACCCAGCGCUGGGAGAGCCCUGCUGGCCCUCUCCUGGCCUGUCUGUCUGUCUGGUCUUCCUGUCAGAACAGCUCCGCCACCACCUGGAGAGGCAGGAAAAGAGAAGCCCGUUUCUGGCCCGAGCCUCCGGGCGGGAGUGGGAAGGUAGGCGAUCCUCACCCGGGGAUCGGAACCGGCUUCAGGAGGUUACUAUCUGGACACCCGAAGAGCCUGCCUUCCUCCUCGCAGGAGCACCGCGGGGCUUGGUGCCGAGAGAGGCGUCUACUGUUUCGUCACUUCUGUCUCUGAGUGGUCUCACGCGUGCCUCGCCUCCCCACGAAGACGUUGUGACCGCCACUCCCUCCCUCCCCCGGCCAGCAUUCCCUGAGCCCUCUGCCGGCUUUGGGCUGGCAGCAGGCCAUCAGGGGAAAACCCACAUGAGAAAGUGGGAAGUUCACCCACCUUUCACUCCUCUGGGCCUCGGUAGAGGGAAGACUCCACGGCAGCUUCCGGGUGGGUCCUUCGAGCCCCUGAGAGCCACUGCGGUGGUCCCUGGUCCCGUCCUGUUCACAGGUCUCACUGCAGCUGCUAUUCCUGGGAACCUCCACUUCUACCCACUCACCGCCUCCGAAUUCCUGGGGUGUUGACUCUGAUCCUCCAGAAAGAGGUGACUGCUGGCUCCCUAGCUGACCAUGCCAGGACUCGGACCAUUGCUCUUGACCUCCUAAACUCCUCUGCACUCUGUCUCACGGCCAGCUGGUCACCCAGCUGUGUCCCUGCUACCCUCACAGUCUCUCUCUGCUGCCUCUACCCUCUCAUCUCCGUUUGACCUGGGCUCCUGGCCACUGGCUUCUGAUUCAUUUCCUUUCCCACAGAGGUGGAGGAGCGGCUCCUGGGCAGUGCAUCCAGGCUAACUUUCUGUGGUGGUGGAAACGCUGUCCGCUGUGCUGUUCGAUACGGUAGCCCCCGCAGGCCCUGUGUGUCUCUGAGGAAUGCACACGACUUUUACUUUUAUUUAAACAGCCACGUGCAGCUUGGGGCUCUCGCCUUGGGCACUGGGAAGGAAGUUUGUGCGGCCUUCCCGGGCGGUUUCACUGCUGCUUUCUACUCGCUGACCUCUUGGACUCCCCAAGCUCCCCUGAGCUGAGCACACUCUUCCUGGGCCACUGAUGCCGUGCACACCGUUCCCUCUGUCUGGAAACUCUCCCCUCCUCUGGCCGCAGGCACAUUCCCUGCUGACCCUUGAGACUGUAGGAUGCCCUGACCUUGGCACCUGCUGACCUCUGGGGUGCCCUGGGGUCCAGUCUGUGCUUCCACAACACCUGCUGUACCCUGUCGUGCUGUGCUACUCUCUUAGUGAACACAAACACCCUCAGGGCUGGGAGACUCACACUGCCGGGACCGCGACCCAGGUGUACAGUAGCUCAAUGCACUGGUCCCUUCCCCAUGCGGUCAUCUCCUGACCCCGCUGGCGUGGGCAGGGCAGGGAACCUUGCUCUCAUUUUACAGAUGAGGAGUGAAUGCUCAUCAAGUCAAGAAGCUCCUUGGCACAGGAUUCAACUUUGAAGGUAGCAGGGCACCUCCCGGGUCACUGACGGUGAGGUCUUGUCCAGGAAAAUUAGUGGUAGCUGGAGAUUACUCCCCUCACUGGCUGUGGGUGCCCGGGGGUUCCUUCCCUGCCACCUCCUCAUGUCUCUUCUUUUCAUAGCGCACUCAGUGGGAGAAAUGUUUUUGGACCUUGCCUUUUGGAUUUCUGCAUUUUUUCCUGAUUCACACCAGACCCGGCAUCCCUAGAACUUGGUUAUUCUUGGAAAGGAUGCCUGAGAAUAGGCUUUGUUUGGAUUUCUCCUCUCCCUGGAGGAGGAGGUGGGGGAGCGGGGAGCCAGCAGGUCAAGGGCUCUGCCUCCUCUCUUCCUGGGGCCUCUCUAGCUUGCAAGCAAAGCCCGCAGCCCGAGGAGAGCCGUGCCUUCACCGGAAGAGCCUCAGGACGGGAGGAGCCUGCUUGAGGGCCCUGGCAGACAGCACCUUCCACUGCUCCUCACCUGGAAGCUGCUUUUCCGGGGACUCUGGCAGGAGCUCAGCUGUGCGCGUGUGAGGGCUGCUCAGGCAGCCACAUGUUUAUGUGCUGCCACACAUCAGAGACCCAGCACAGCAAGACACAAGCCCCUGUUGCUUCUCUGUGUGUGUGUGUGUGUGUGUGCAAGGAAUGAUUAUGAAAGCCCACACUUCAAUCACAGGAAUGCUGAGUGUGUUUGGAAGAUCCAAAGAUUGUAUUUUCCCAUUCAUUCUUUUUGGGUGCGCGCGUGACAGAGGAUGGGUACACCUUAUAGCCACGUUCCUAGCCCUAAAGCCAAGGUCCAGGACAUAGAAGGCAUUUUGUAAAUAAUCAUUGAACAAAUUGCUUAAUUUUUACUCUUCCUUCAUAAUUAAAAGAAGUAUUACGUAUUAUAAACGCACAGUUCAGUGAGUUUUUAUCACCAUGUAGGCAACACCCCCUCAGGAUAUAAAAUAUUUUAAUUCCAUGGGAGUUUCCCUGGGCCUCCCUUCUCUGGUCACUGGUUUAGGGUUUUAGGGUUUACUCACGUGUAUAUGAGCAGCCCUGCCUUUUGGUUGGUGCUCACUCUUCCACUGCUCUCUCCGCCUCAUUUUGUUUAUCUGUCUCUCUCCUGAUGAACUCUGUAGUUGUUUCCAGCUUGGAGGUUUCAUGAAUAAUGUUGUUGGGAGUAUUCACACAUAAGUUUCUCUGGGGGGCAAACUUUCAUUUCUCUCAGGUAACUGCACAGGAGGAAGUGGCUGGAUCCUGGGUAAAUGUAUUUUUAAGAUGUUUGGUAAUAAGAAGUUACCAGAGAGUUUUCCAAAGUAGUUGUACAAUCUUAUAAUUCUACCAGCCAGGUGUGAGAAGCUCAAGCUGUUCUGUUCCCUUCUCAGCACUAAACACCGGAAGUCUUUUCAGUUUGAACCACGGUAGUGAGUGUGGCUAUAGUCACCGUGCUUCUAAUUUGCAGUUCUCUGACCACUAAUGAUAUUAAGCGUCUUUCCUAAGUAAGUUUAUUGGUCGUUUGUAUUUCUUUUUGUUUGCCUCAAUCUUUCUCUGUUUUUAUGCUAUGUUUAAAAAUGGGCUUAUGGGAAUUAAAAAUACAGUCUGGAUUUUAGUUCUUUGUUGAAAGCACAUACCACGGAUAUUUGGUAGCUUUUGUUUUCUAUGUGUUUUGUUAAUUGAGCAAAAAUCUAAUUUCUCUAUAUUUUGUGUGUACAGUGCUUUUUGAAAAACUCUAUUUGGGAAAUGUUUGCCUACUCUUCGGUCCUGAAUGUAUCCUCCUGUAUUUUCUGUUUUCCUUGAUGUUUUAAUUUAGUGUUGUAAAGUAUCUUGAAUGACUUUGUGUGUAUGCUACGAAGCAUG
ensembl:lincRNA